UACAGAGGGUGCAAGCGUUGUUCGGAAUUAUUGGGCGUAAAGGGUGCGUAGGCGGUGCGGUAAGUCUGUAGUGAAAUCUCUGGGCUCAACUCAGAGUCUGCUAUAGAAACUGCCGUGCUUGAGUGUGGGAGAGGUGAGUGGAAUUCCCGGUGUAGCGGUGAAAUGCGUAGAUAUCGGGGAGGAACACCUGUGGCGAAAAGCGGCUCACUGGACCACAACUGACGCUGAUGCACGAAAAGCUAGGGGGAGCAAACAGG
rnacentral:rRNA from 1 species